UGUGUGUGUGUGUUGUGUGUGCGUGUGUGUGUGCGUGCGGGAUAAUAUCCUAUCAUCCGGUUCGCAUACGCACGUACAUACACGCGUACACACGUACACGCGCGCACA